GAUGAAGAACGUAGCGAAAUGCGAUAAGUAAUGUGAAUUGCAGAAUUCAGUGAAUCAUCGAAUCUUUGAACGCACCUUGCGCCCUUUGGCCAUUCCGAAGGGCAUGCCUGUUUGAGUAUCAUGAACACCUCAACUCUUUAUGGUUUUCCAUGAUGAGCUUGGACUUUGGGGGUUUUGCUGGCCUAUGGUCGGCUCCUCUAAAAUAAAUCAGCUUACCGGUGUUUGGUGGGUAUCAUGGGUGUGAUAACUAUCUACGCUUGUGGUUUUUCCACCAGGUAACCUUCGACAGCGGAGGUUCACUGGAGCUCACAGAUGUCUCUCCUCAGCGAGGACAGCCCUUUGAAUGUUUGAUCUCAAAUCAGGUAGGACUACCCGCUGAACUUAAGCAUAUCAAUAAGCGGAGGA
rnacentral:misc_RNA from 1 species